rnacentral:rRNA from 1 species
GUACGUAGGGGGCGAGCGUUGUCCGGAAUGAUUGGGCGUAAAGGGCGCGUAGGCGGCCUGUUAAGUCUGGAGUGAAAGUCCUGUUUUCAAGAUGGGAAUUGCUUUGGAUACUGAUGGGCUUGAGUGCAGGAGAGGUUAUCGGAAUUCCCGGUGUAGCGGUGAAAUGCGUAGAGAUCGGGAGGAACACCAGUGGCGAAGGUGACUUACUGGGCCGUAACUGACGCUGAGGCGCGAAAGCGUGGGGAGCGAACAGGAUUAGAUACCCUGGUAGUCCACGCGGUAAACGAUGAAUGCUAGGUGUUGCGGGUAUCGACCCCUGCAGCGCCGGAGUAAACACAAUAAGCAUUCCGCCUGGGGAGUACGGCCGCAAGGUUGAAACUCAAAGGAAUUGACGGGG